UCUGCCAGGGAGCGUCCUGUGAUGGAGGGGCUGCACUGCCACUUUACUGAUGAGGAAAUUAAGGUUCAGAGAGAUGAGGUCAUUUCUUAGAGGCCAGACAGCCUCCUCAGCCCAUUUAUAAGGUUGUUUCUGUGGUAUUUGCCAUAAAGCCAUAGGUUCAUUGAUUUGUUCUUAAGUAGUUCUGAGCCCUUCCUGCAUAUCAGGCAGGGACAAACAGGAAAGUCCCUGCCUUUGGCAAGUGCGGGGGAAAUGAAAUGAUUCUGCUUAGCCGCAUCCAUUGGUCUGAACAAUCACGUCUCAUGACCGCAGGGACGCGGCUUCCCCUGAAUGCGGAUCCUAGAGGCCAGGCAGAAGCAGCAUGGGUUUCCACUCACACGGUAGGUGGCUGUGCAAUUUCGUCUGGAGUCCCCAGACCCCUCCUCAUCCUUCCCAGGGUUGCUCUGAGGCCAUUCCUCGUCAUCUAGGAGGGGUCUACAUAAAAGCAUUUAUAAACACCUCCAAAUGGGAGCCAGGUGCGCCCACCUUUGGAGCACUUUUCUCUACUGCAGAUCUAUCUACUGCUCAUGAAAUCUCUGGAUUUAACUCUGAUGAAAGACUGGAGGCUGAAGGAGAACUUCAAUAUCAUAUAUUUUAAAGGUUGACUCACAGUUUGGAGCAAGAAUUAAAGAACCACGAACUUCAAGGUAAAACGGGCAACGGCGUUGGGGCAAGCCUCUCUGCACCUGCGUGUCCAGCCUCUCCUGCAUGCCAGAAGUCCCCAGGCAGGAGUGUGGUGGGACAUCCGGCUGGGGUGAUGUAAAAUUCUCAAACAAUGAGAUAGAUAAAAAGUACGCAGCCAAAAAGUUCAAGAAGAAGUGUUAUGGAGAUGGAGCAGGCCCUUCGUAAAAACACGAUGUUGGUUUUCUGGAUUUUGGAGGCCUCACAAAACCUGGAUCAGACUCGCCCACUGCCCUGUGUCUGCCCUCCCGACCACCUCUCCUGCCCAGCAGGGAUGUGGGUGGCAGUGGUGCUGUGUGGAGGGUGGCGGGAGGACGGGGAAGACUGCGACCAGUGAGCCGGGAGGCCUUGGGACAGCCUCUCUCUGAAUCAUCCUGUGCACUGCCAGGUGUGACAAAGGCUCCUAGAAUCCUGCCUCAAGUGGCCGCCUUCACAGAGGGAGUCACUGACGUCCCUGCUCAAUGCAGCCCUGGCAUGUGGGGGUCCCUCUACUCAUGAGAAACCCCCACCCAAUCACCAUGAGAUGAAGAAAUGGGGCCUGGCGAGGAGCAAAGCCCAGAACUGCUACCCACCACCCUCCCUGCCUGGUGCUUUCCUGGGAACAUGUGGGAGCCCCCGACUGGACCUUGGGACCUCCCAUCUGUAAUUGCAGGCCCCAGUCUGCCUGUGUGGAUGUGGAAUGUGUCACUCGGGAUCCUGGAGUCCUCCUGAGCUUGUCCAGCAGGGCUGCAUUCACUGAUGUGCUGACAGAGGCCUAGGCUCGGACCUUUAGGAAUAUCCAAGGCAUCUCAUUAUGCAGAAAACCACCCUCAUGAGGUCCUGGGGGCCUCUCUCCAUCUUCCUGGGGGUGACGCAAUAGAGUGUAACUUCCACGCUGCCGAGACAGGCCAUGAGGGGUUGCCCCCAUUGGAGGGGCAGAGUGGUAUUUGUGGGGUGGUAGGAAUCAUUCAAUGCCCAGCUGCAACCCCCCGGGCUCACAGCACACUCUUAAGGCCAGUGCUACCAGCUCCCUUGGGUGGAUAGAGGAGCUACGGCUCAGAAGCAUGCCCACAGCUCCCCCAGGACCCUGAGGCCAGCCUGUGGCAGGGCCUGUGAUUUGAACCCCUCUACGAGGCUUCAAAUCAGUGCUGUUUGUCCUGGCCUCAUAAAACCUGGCUGCCCAGUUGGGAUUGGUGUCAUCUGCCUUGCUGAACUGGGCACUCCUUGGGAAGAGGGUGGGUGCUGCGAGAAGGCGGUGGAUCCUGGCUGUGCAACCUUCGCAGGUGGCUGAACCUCUCUGUGUCUCAGUUUGCUCAUCUGCAAAGGGGGCUGGGAUUCCUGCCUACCUGCAUGUGCUCAAGAGGGAAAGCCAGCCAGGCAUGGUGGCUCAUGCCUGU
rnacentral:lncRNA from 1 species